GUGGGAUUUGAACUCACAUCUUCUUAUUCCACAUUUAAGUCUAAUGGUAGCCAUGUUGGGCUUGGAGGCAGGAGGAUCUGAAUUCUAUCAGUUAGUGAGAAGAAUUCUGUGACUUUUAAGGUCCCUUCCAAUUCUCUAUCUAUGGUCAGUUUUCAGUGUUUAUAGUGAGCCCAGUUCCUGCUGUUUCUAGUAUCUUCUCUCUAAUGUUACCUUCCAGUUAAAUUGUGUAAUAUGACUUCUAUGUACCUAGUAGUUUGCAUAUUAUCUCCCACAAUAGAUUGGGAGUUUCUCGAGAGCUGGCACCAUGUUCUUUGUUUCCUGAUGCUUAGCCCAGAGCUUAGGGAUAAUAAUAGCAUCUUCUUUCCUAGGUGGCUGUGAAGAUCAGUUGAGAUACUAAUUAUAAAGUGCUUGGUUGGUGUAUAAAACAGAAAGUCAACUGAUGAUUUUUGACAACCUCUGAGAGAAAGAGAGAGGGAGGGGCAUCUCCAAGCAUUUUAGUGGGCUAUAAGCUCAUUGUGUGAUAUGUCCAGUCAAGAAAGCAAAGGAAAAGGUUGAGUUAAGAAAAAACAAAACCCUGAGAAACAAGGAAGUGAUAGUUGUGCUCUAUUUUCCCUGAUGAGAGGACAUCUGGAGCAUUAUACUCAGUUCUGUUUAGGAAGACUUACUAGACCUAGAGCACGUUGGCUUAUCUCUCAGUGUCCCAGGUGGCUUUCUAAGAUGAUAAACUGCAGAGGGACUUGGAAUAAAGGUCUGGACCCAAAAUAACAAAGCUGUGA
rnacentral:lncRNA from 1 species